UACGUAGGAGGCAAGCGUUGUCCGGAUUUACUGGGCGUAAAGGAUGCGUAGGCGGACAUUUAAGUCAGAUGUGAAAUACCCGAGCUUAACUUGGGUGCUGCAUUUGAAACUGGGUGUCUAGAGUGCAGGAGAGGUAAGUGGAAUUCCUAGUGUAGCGGUGAAAUGCGUAGAGAUUAGGAAGAACACCAGUGGCGAAGGCGACUUACUGGACUGUAACUGACGCUGAGGCAUGAAAGCGUGGGGGAGCAAACAGG
rnacentral:rRNA from 1 species